rnacentral:lncRNA from 13 species
AGUCCCUGUACCUCAGGUUAAAACACCAUGCUUUGGUCCGAAAGAGUAGUUUGAGUGCUAAAAACAGAUGAAAAUGAAACCGUCUAUACCUGAAGAUGUUUCGGAGCUUGGAGAAAAUCCCUGAAGCUCUAGUUCACAGAGAGGAAGCCAUGUUUGAAGUACUUUAAAGUCCGUGGGUGGUGAGGAUGUGUGAGGACGUGGAAUCAGUUUUGGGAGGGCUGGUAGGCUGGCUAGAUGUUGGGAUCAUUGAUUAAAGCAGGAAAUGCCUGAGGUAGAGAAGGUCUGGGGAAGGAGACACCGCAUUAGAUUUGAAUGACGUGGAAUGUUAGGUAACUGUGUGAUCUCCAGGCAGAAAUUCCCACUAGGCAGUUCACAGUACAGGAUUUGUCCUCAGGAGACAGGCUACAACUGCAGCUAUGGAUUUGGGAGUCAUCCAGAAGAGCUGUACAUGAAUUCCAUCAGGGAGAAUAGAUACAGCGAGUGGAGAGGAGGGCUAAGAUCCGGACUGGUUGACCUCUGAGGUCCCUUCUCGCUCAACAGCCGAUGGUGAUGAUGAAAAGAUGAUCUUGUUCUUCUCAUCUGUUCAGCACUGGACAGCUGCCUGGAAAAUCUUGAUUAGCCAAUCAAGGUCACCUGAAGGAUGGCCAGUACAGACGCCUGUGGACUGUGCUUGGGAGUCUCCAUCUAAUCUCUCUCUAAGUAGAUGUUCUGGGAUUCCUCCAAGUACAAACACGACUCAAGGGCAACAGCUUGAUCAGAAAAUGUAGAAAUGAAGAGCAAUUAGUUCUCUCCUGGAUUUAGUAAGGUCGUGAAAAUCAUCUUUUCCCAGCACUCAAUGAGGAGACGAGCUUUCUCUCUCUUUUGGGACAUUUGUGAAUGGAGUUUGGUACUGGAUUUGUUGUCAGGAGUUGUGGUGGCUAAAGCUUUCCUUCUCCUCAUUGGUGACUGAAAGGGUGUGCAUGGAUUUUACAACACAUGAGGGAGUCUUCUCUAUUUGUUCUGGUGGCCAUGGCCAUGGGCUUUGCUUGGACCUAGCCUCUCCAUGCCACCUGCCCCGCCAGAGUGAGUGUGUCUGGAGCCACAGUACUACAGCAUGCUUGAUGUCUUAGCUUUAAGGGGCUCCUAGUUAGGGCUGCCCCCUGCAUGCAGUGCUUCCUUUCUUUCCCACUGGCACCUCUUAGGCCUUCGUGGCCCCUGAUUUUUGGUCCUGCCAUUGCUCAUGACCUGGUGAUGGCACUGCUUGCUGUGGAGUUCUGAAGGGGAAAAAGGCAGAGCCAUCAAACAUCUAUGUAGGGCCCAGAUGGGGAGAAGGCGUAAGUCUGAAAAUCUUGCAGUAUUUUAACUGCACCAAAAUUAAGAUAAAAACAUUACACACUGUUAAGAGUUAUGUGUCUAAAGCUCAGAAAUCCCCUAACAACAUGGGUUUUUCCAGAUCUGAAGAAGCCCAAAGAUGGUGCCUAGUAAAGGCCUUAGAAUCAUCAGCGAUCCAGGAAAUACAAAUCAAAACAAUGAGACCACUUUCCUCACUAGGAUGGCUAUCAUGAAAAAGACAGAUACCAAAUGUUGACAAGGAUGUGAAGAAAUUGGAAGUGUCCAUAUGAUCCAGCAAUUCCGCUCCCUGGUACGCACCCUAAAGAAAUGAAAAUAUAAGUCCACUAAUAAUUUGUACACAAGUGUUCUUAUGAACAUUAUUCAUAAAAUCCAAAAAGUGGAAACACCAGCUCCCAAAAGGACAGUCCACAGGUGUCUAUAAAUGGUCCUAAAAGAAUGAAUUGUGGAGUGAUUUUGCAUUAGGCAUGACUAUGCUGUAGGCAGCUCCUGGAAUGGAGGUCCCCCUCAUAGUGCAUGGAGGUCAAUAGCCAGUUGUACCAAAGAGUAUUCUCUCUGUAGUACUGUGGGGAGCACAAGCCCCACCUCCAAAGCCAGAAAUCCAAGCCUUUCAGUGAGACUUCGUGGUAAGUAGUUUAUUUAUUUACCAUAAAUAAAUAAAUAUUUAUAUGCCA